GGUGCUGUGGCAUAGUGGGUAAAGCCACUGCCUGUGGUGCCGGCAUCCUGUGUGGACUCUGGUUCGAGUCCUGGCUGCACCA
rnacentral:tRNA from 1 species